rnacentral:rRNA from 1 species
UAGAGUUUGAUCAUGGCUCAGAGCGAACGCUGGCGGCAGGCCUAACACAUGCAAGUCGAGCGGCCGUAGCAAUACGGCAGCGGCAGACGGGAGAGUAACACGUGGGAACGCGCCCUUUGGUUYGGAAUAACUCAGGGAAACUUGAGCUAAUACCGGAUAAGCCCUUACGGGGAAAGAUUUAUCGCCAAAGGAACGGCCCGCGUCCGAUUAACUAGUUGGUGAGGUAAUGGCUCACCAAGGCGACGAUCGGUAGCUGGUCUGAGAGGAUGACCAGCCUCACUGGGACUGAGACACGGCCCAGACUCCUACGGGAGGCAGCAGUGGGGAAUWUUKGRMMAWKGGGSSCAAGCCUGAUCCAGCAAUGCCGCGUGAGUGAUGAAGGCCUUCGGGUUGUAAAGCUCUUUCGCCCGCGACGAUGAUGACGGUAGCGGGAGAAGAAGCCCCGGCUAACUUCGUGCCAGCCGCCGCGGUAAUUC